AAACUUACGUAAGUAGCAGUAUUAUCACUAAUGAGGUUUAUCUGAGAGGCACAGUUCUCGCUCACUGAAAAAUCCCAGUACUCAGCCAUGAAAACUCUCAAUAUAGUCGGCACUGGCAACUUUUGACAGUCUUUAUGGAGA
ensembl:snRNA U4 U4 spliceosomal RNA